rnacentral:rRNA from 1 species
UACAGAGGCCCCGAGCGUUACUGAGAAUCACUGGGUUUAAAGGGUGCGUAGGUGGCGCGUUAAGUCCGUUGUGAAAUCCCUGGGCUCAACCCAGGAAUUGCUUCGGAUACUGGCGUGCUUGAGGCCGGUAGGGGUCACUGGAACUGACGGUGGAGCGGUGAAAUGCGUAGAUAUCGUCAGGAACGCCGAUGGUGAAGACAGGUGACUGGGCCGGAACUGACACUGAGGCACGAAAGCGUGGGGAUCAAACAGG